rnacentral:rRNA from 1 species
AACUCCGAAUGCCAAUUAAUUUAACUUGGGAGUCAGAACAUGGGUGAUAAGGUCCGUGUUCGAAAGGGAAACAGCCCAGACCACCAGCUAAGGUCCCAAAAUAUAUGUUAAGUGGAAAAGGAUGUGGCGUUGCCCAGACAACUAGGAUGUUGGCUUAGAAGCAGCCAUCAUUUAAAGAGUGCGUAAUAGCUCACUAGUCGAGUGACACUGCGCCGAAAAUGUACCGGGGCUAAACAUAUUACCGAAGCUGUGGAUUGUCCUUUGGACAAUGGUAGGAGAGCGUUCUAAGGGCGUUGAAGCAUGAUCGUAAGGACAUGUGGAGCGCUUAGAAGUGAGAAUGCCGGUGUGAGUAGCGAAAGACGGGUGAGAAUCCCGUCCACCGAUUGACUAAGGUUUCCAGAGGAAGGCUCGUCCGCUCUGGGUUAGUCGGGUCCUAAGCUGAGGCCGACAGGCGUAGGCGAUGGAUAACAGGUUGAUAUUCCUGUACCACCUAUAAUCGUUUUAAUCGAUGGGGGGACGCAGUAGGAUAGGCGAAGCGUGCGAUUGGAUUGCACGUCUAAGCAGUAAGGCUGAGUAUUAGGCAAAUCCGGUACUCGUUAAGGCUGAGC